rfam:Oryza glaberrima chromosome 1 Oglab01_0089_6, whole genome shotgun sequence.
AGGAGCCGUAUGAGGUGAAAAUCUCAUGUGCGGUUCUGUAGAGGGGCAGGAAUAGUGACUUAUCUAUC